ACAUUCAUGCAAAUUUGAUCCAGAUCGAAAGUCUAGAUUAAUAAAACGCAGAUCAUAUUGCCAGACGAAUUUUGUCAGUGGUUUAGUAAAUAAAAAGUGUUGCUUGAAUUAUUAAAACUCUUGUCAGUUUAAAACACAAAUACAUAUAAUAUGUACAAUUCAUAAAUUUAAAACAAAAUUACUCUAAUUUAUAACAUUCUCACACGCUGUAUAUUGAUUAAGAAAGAUCCACACAAUAAUAAUUACACUUCCAAUUUCAUUUAUCUAUCUUGUGACAUGUUAUGCGAUCUACACUGUGACGCAGACAUUGAUUAUAUUAGAUGUUAGAAAAGUUGCAUACAUUUCACCAUUUUUACUUUACGAGCAUAUUGAUAUGCUUUCAGCAAAAGUUACUGAUCUGAUGUUACAUGAAACAUGAUCUCCCAAGAAUUACAAUGAGGGGUGGGUUGGUUCAGGUUCUACGUAACAAUUUAUUUUAUAUACAAUUAAUUUGAAAGUAUUAUUUACUUUCUACAAUUCACUUGGGCAUUCCAAUUGUUAGGGUUUCCAUUGGUAAAUUUGGAUUUAAAAAUUAAACUCAUGUUGACUUUAUUCGUGUCCAAUGGAACACACGGUUGAAAAUCGAUUGGUUUUUUUUACAUUUGACAGAAGUAAACUUAAUUUGAUAGUCAAGCUCAUUUUUAUAGACUCAUUUGUAAAGCAAAUCAAUUAAUUUUUGAUCUAGAUCUGUCAAAACACAAAUUUCCCCUGGGGUAAAAUAAAUUGAUUUAUUUUUGAUCUAAAAGCAAAUUUGCAGAUCUAGAUUUUAUUGGAAAUGUGUUCAGUGUCAGUAGUACAGUUCGUCGUUAUAUCUUCUCUUCCAUUCUCCAUCUAUGCGUACGGGACAAAAAUCACCCGAAUAAUUUUUCUCUCGAAGCAUUCUAAGACGUUCUCAUCUUUCUUUGACAGGAUGACAGCAGGUCUUUUUUUGAUGACAGCACAUUCUUGGUCUUGCCCUCAUUGAACACACAACCCACCUUCUCCGCUUCCGUUGCAAUGCUCGUAAACGCUUCACUGACAUCACGCUUUGAUCUUCCAAUUAUUUCAAUAUCAUCUGCGUAUCCGAGUAGUUGGAAGGACCUUUGCAAGAUUGUGUAUAUAGUGUUGACGGUUGAGUUUUGCACAAUACUUUUAGGAACGAUGUUGAAAGGCGCAUGACAGUGCAUCGCCUUGUCUAAAACCUUUUUUGGCAUCAAAUGCAUCGGUGAGAUCUUUUCCGACUUUGAUAGAGCAGCGUGCAUUCUCCAUUGUCAUUCUGCACAAACGAAUAAGUUUGACAGGGAUGCCAAAACUUGACAUUGCUCUUCCCUACGGAUGACAGCACACGCAGCUUUAAAAUCGAUAAAGAGAUGGUUGGUAUCGAUUUGAAGCUCCUGGAUUUUUCCAAGAUCUGAAGUUGUGUGAAUAUUUGGUCGAUAGUAGAAUUUCCUGAAGCGACCCUGACAAGGACCUAUCAGCGCCGAAUGGCUUCAGAUGUAUGGUUCAGAUGGUCUUCUUUCUUAUGUAUCGGACACACUAUGCUCAGAUUCCACUAAUAGAGCAUCCUUUCUUCCGACCAUAUUUUGCAGAUGAAUUGGUGCAUAGUCAAUACCAAGUAAUCGCCUUUGAAUAGUUUGGCAGCGAUGCCGUCAGUUACAGCAGCUUUGUUUGAUUUAAGUUUAGAUAUAGCUAUCGUCCCUUCGUCAAGGUCGGUUGAUCUGCGUCUAUCUAUCGGUUGAGUGGUUCUAUCUCCUUUACAGCGGAAUUCGGUUCGUCAUCGCCGUUAUAUAAUUUGGAGAAGUGGUCUUUCCAUAUUCUCAACAUCGACUGCGGUUCUACUACGAUGUUCCCUGAUCGUCUUUACAGGCUUCGGUUCGUGGCUGGUACCCUUGGGAGGUUUUUUUUAAGUUUUGGUAAAAUUUACGAACCUCAUUCCUGUUGUAACACCCCUCUAUCUCCUCGACCAUGCUCUCUUUUUUUCCAUCUUAGAAGCCGGUGUUCCUCUCUCCUCUUCUGCUCGUAGAGCUCGUGAGCAGCUCUGGUUCUGUUUCGCUGGGUGCGCUUGCCGGCAUUCGUCGUCAAACCAAGGGUUUCGCUGUGGUGGCCGUGUGAAAACUUGCACUUCAGAGGCGGCAUCUCUGAUGGCUGCAAGGCAAUGUUGCCACUGAUUUUCAAUGCUUAAUGCAGUAAGCAUAGGACUGCUUAAGAGGUUAUUAGAAACUCGAUCGGAAAAGGACAUGGCAGACUCUUGCGACUUUAGACGUUUAACGUCGAAAUUUGUCACAGUACUUCCUUGUUUUGGCUUGGAUCGGAAUAUCCGUAGCCGUACCUUGGCUACGACGAGGUAGUGGUUCGAGUCAAUGUUGGCCCCCCGGAAUGUUUGGAUAUCCUGUAUACUGGAGAAGUGUCAUGCGUCGAUGUGGUCAAACUGGUUGACGGUUGAUUGAUCAGGAGAUUUCCAUGUCCGAUAUUGAGAUGUGUGAACUGCGUAGUAACUACCAGAACUUCUCGCCCCACAGCAAAAUCGAUCAGCCUGAAUCCGUUAUCGGAGGUGAUGCCGUGCAGGCUGUAUCUCCCGAUUAUGCCACUAAAGAUGUCUUCUCUUCCUAGCUUGGCAUUAAAAUCUCUUAAGACAAUAUUAAUGUCAAAGCCAGGGAACUGCUCAUAUGUCUUGUCCAAGAGCUCGAAGAAUAUGUCUUUGGUGUCUUCAUCUUUCUCCUCUAUUGGGGCAUGUGCGCAUAUUAAGCUUAUGUUGGCGAAUUUAGUUAUUUAGUAUUUUUUACGUGGCCAGGAAGUCACCCCGACGGCACAACCCCCAACCUGACCACAUCCGUCACAAUGACAGAUACAAUUAAUAUUGGCAUUGGUGCGGGAAAAUGCGGGGGGGGGGGGUUCCACUCGUCUUAUAAUGUAUAAGUUAACAUUGAAUUUUAAAGCAAAAAUUAUUAAAUUUACAUUUCUCAUUUAAAUGCAACAAAACCGAUUUUAUUUAAAAAAAAUUGAUUUAUUUUACCAAUGGAAAAUCUCAUGUGUAAACUAUCAAGUCAAAUUUGAUAAACCGUGAAUUCGCUAUAAAUGGAGUCUCCGUAUAGUAUUGGUUUUAAAUCCAUAAAGUUAAUUAUGCCGAUACAAAAUCCUUUGUGACUUUUUGACGUCCUUAAAAUGAGAGAAAUGUCAAAAUUGACAUUUGCACUGUAAACACAAAACUUGGCUUCUAAUUGGCUAUAAAUCUAAUAUUUAUUUUCUAAAUUAUUUGAAUUUUAUUUUUUUUU